ACAGAGGGUGCGAGCGUUAAUCGGAAUUACUGGGCGUAAAGCGCACGUAGGUGGCUUUGUAAGUCGGAUGUGAAAUCCCCAGGCUUAACCUGGGAACUGCAUUCGAAACUGCAUUGCUAGAGUAUGGGAGAGGGCAGUGGAAUUUCAGGUGUAGCGGUGAAAUGCGUAGAUAUCUGAAGGAACAUCAGUGGCGAAAGCGACUGCCUGGACCAAUACUGACGCUCAUGUGCGAAAGCGUGGGGAGCAAACAGGA
rnacentral:rRNA from 1 species